AUAUAUAUAUGGUGGUGUUUAACGACCUUGACUGGCUAUACAGCCCUCGCACGGUCGGCUCGGUGCCCGAAGGCGUUUGGUGAGCUUUAUCAUAUUUUGAUGCCAUGGGUCAGGAACAAGUAGUGGAGGUCGCAAUAUGUAGGCCGCCAUCUUGGUUUUGGUGAGUUGUUUUUGGUUUGUUGACUAUUUUGAUGUUGGUUUACUUCACAACGGCUGCUUUCAGGGCCAGUUUGGUCAGCUUGGCAGCCCACUAGCCUCGAUGAUGGAGUACUGGUAGAUGAUCUCGGAC
rnacentral:lncRNA from 1 species